GUGGGUGCAGGUGAAUUAUGGGAGUUGUAGUGAGAGCUGAUAAUAGUGGGUGCAGGUGAAUUGUGGGAGUUGUAGUGAGAGCUGAUAAUAGUGGGUGCAGGUGAAUUAUGGGAGUUGUAGUGAGGGCUGAUAAUAGUGGGUGCAGGUGAAUUAUGGGAGUUGUAGUGAGAGCUGAUAAUAGUGGGUGCAGGUGAAUUAUGGGAGUUGUAGUGAGGGCUGAUAAUAGUGGGUGCAGGUGAAUUAUGGGAGUUGUAGUGAGGUCUGAUAAUAGUGGGUGCAGGUGAAUUAUGGGAGUUGUAGUGAGGUCUGAUAAUAGUGGGUGCAGGUGAAUUAUGGGAGUUGUAGUGAGAGCUGAUAAUAGUGGGUGCAGGUGAAUUAUGGGAGUUGUAGUGAGAGCUGAUAAUAGUGGGUGCAGGUGAAUUAUGGGAGUUGUAGUGAGAGCUGAUAAUAGUGGGUGCAGGUGAAUUAUGGGAGUUGUAGUGAGAGCUGAUAAUAGUGGGUGCAGGUGAAUUAUGGGAGUUGUAGUGAGGGGCUGAUAAUAGUGGGUGCAGGUGAAUUAUGGGAGUUGUAGUGAGGGCUGAUAAUAGUGGGUGCAGGUGAAUUAUGGGAGUUGUAGUGAGGGCUGAUAAUAGUGGGUGCAGGUGAAUUAUGGGAGUUGUAGUGAGGGCUGAUAAUAGUGGGUGCAGGUGAAUUAUGGGAGUUGUAGUGAGGGGCUGAUAAUAGUGGGUGCAGGUGAAUUAUGGGAGUUAUUAUUGAU